AGCAAAAAGUCAAGAACUCGAGUUUUUGAAAUGCGGGGUAGAAGUGAUGCUGUUAUUGUUGGAGGAAAUACUGUGCGCAAAGACAAUCCACGUUUGACGGUUAGACAUGGAGGUGACCAUCUGCCCCGGCGUGUUGUAUUAUCUCAAACUCUUGACCUUCCAGAAGAAGCACAUCUUUGGAAUGUUUCUGAGGUCCCCACUAUAGUUGCUACACAAAGAGGUGCAAAGAGAAGUUUCCAGAGAUUGCUUGCAUCCAAAGGCGUUGAAGUGGUGGAAUUUGAUAUUUUAGAUCCUAGAGAUGUUAUGGGGUACUUAUAUGAUCGUGGUUAUCUCUCUGUUUUGUGGGAGUGUGGAGG
rnacentral:misc_RNA from 1 species